rnacentral:rRNA from 1 species
AUACGUAGGGAGCGAGCGUUGUCCGGAAUUACUGGGUGUAAAGGGAGCGUAGGCGGGAUGGCAAGUCAGAUGUGAAAACUAUGGGCUCAACCCAUAGACUGCAUUUGAAACUGUUGUUCUUGAGUGAAGUAGAGGUAAGCGGAAUUCCUGGUGUAGCGGUGAAAUGCGUAGAUAUCAGGAGGAACAUCGGUGGCGAAGGCGGCUUACUGGGCUUUUACUGACGCUGAGGCUCGAAAGCGUGGGGAGCAAACAGGAUUAGAUACCCUGGUAGUCCACGCUGUAAACGAUGAUUACUAGGUGUGGGGGGACUGACCCCUUCCGUGCCGCAGCAAACGCAAUAAGUGAUCCACCUGGGGAGUACGUUCGCAAGAAUGAAACUCAAAUGAAUUGACGGGG